UACGAAGGGGGCUAGCGUUGUUCGGAAUCACUGGGCGUAAAGCGCACGUAGGCGGAUCUUUAAGUCAGAGGUGAAAUCCCAAGGCUCAACCUUGGAACUGCCUUUGAUACUGGGGAUCUUGAGUCCGGGAGAGGUGAGUGGAACUGCGAGUGUAGAGGUGAAAUUCGUAGAUAUUCGCAAGAACACCAGUGGCGAAGGCGGCUCACUGGCCCGGUACUGACGCUGAGGCACGGAAAGCUAAGGGGAGCAAACAGG
rnacentral:rRNA from 1 species